CCCUUAGAUGUCCGGGGCCGCACGCGCGCUACACUGAAGGAAUCAGCGUGGCUUUCUCCCUGACCCGAAAGGGUUGGGAAACCCGUUGAAUCUCCUUCGUGAUAGGGAUUGGGGCUUGAAAUUGUUCCCCAUGAACGAGGAAUUCCCAGUAAGCGCGAGUCAUAAGCUCGCGUUGAUUACGUCCCUGCCCUUUGUACACACCGCCCGUCGCUACUACCGAUUGAACGGUUUAGUGAGGGCCUCGGAUUGGUCUGGGCCCGCUCUUUACCGGGCGGCGCCGUUGGUCGAGAAGACGCUCGAACUUGAUCGUUUAGAGGAAGUAAAAGUCGUAACA
rnacentral:rRNA from 1 species